rnacentral:tRNA from 1 species
GCGCCCGUAGCUUAAUUGGAUAGAGCACCUGACUACGGAUCAGGAGGUUUAUGGGUUCAAGUCCUAUCGGGCGCA